rnacentral:lncRNA from 1 species
AUCAGAUUCUCUGCCCAUAGGCCAUUUGCCAUCACUGACAGAGUUUCACAUAAUGGAUUUCUCUGGUGUUAUUUCCAAGGAAAGCUGAAGGACAAUCUUCCUUUUAUCCUACAAAACAGGAGAGAGGUAUUCCAAAAGCUGUUUCCUGAGUUUGAUCAUAGAGUUGUAUGCAAGGAAGAAAGAUCCAAGGAGGAGGUAAGGGAAGGUGGGGCCCUGUGCUAUUACAGAAAGGAGAAAAAUAAGUGAGAUUUU